GGCCUGGCAUAUCAGAACCACAUAAAUAUGAGGCUUUAAGGCUCACUGAUGCGCAAUGUACUCUAAUGCCAUCAAGUUAUGAUGUGGACAGUGCUCUAUUGUUCACCACUGGCCGACAAAUUCCAGUCAGUCCUUGAGCAGCAGUUGCCCCACAGACAAACUCACCAGUUUUAUAGUUUCACACAAUGUCAUAUGAGAUGAAAUAUCCCUUUGGUCAGUGUGAGUCAGCUGUCCUGUUUCUGUGUCCUCCCACAUCCUUGUGCCUCCCUAGCUCCCUCGCUGGCAGGACAAAACAAGAAGUUGAAACAUCCUUAGGUUACUGCAGUGCUGCUCAGCAACAACUAUGACAUCAGAGUGUUAUCAACAUUGUUUUCCUCCUAAAGCUGAAACAUGGCCUCAUUCCAGACACUAUGAAGAAAAUCACUCUGUCUCAGCUGAAAGCAGGACAUUUGCAUAUUCUGUGCUGCUCAGAAACUGUUCCCUUCAUGCCAAGCAAGUACGUUCUAGUCUGGGUUUUGUAAGACCUGCUGGGAAGAGCAAGCCUUUAUUUAUGUCAGCGGAGGAAUGGAGAAUGCAGGACAGCUGUGUUGACAGCCAGAGCUAUGGCAAGAUAAGGCAAGACGAGGCAAGAUAAAGCAAGGAGUAAUAACAUGCAAGGGCUUUGAAGGGGUGCUUCUCAAGAUUACGUGCAGAAAUCCUUUACACCUUGAUGUUUAGACACCUUAUCAAUACAAAUCCUUGGUAAGUGACUAAUAGCUUGUUUUAGGCUUUGUUAGCUUCACUAAAAUCACGUCUGAGUUUGACUGUGCAUGUUUAAUCCCUUAGGCUUAAAGUACUGACCACGUCUGGGACUAGGAGUGGAUCCAGCUGCACGUAGGCUACUUGUCUCUAUGGUUCAUGGAGUUUAUGAAGUGUGAGGGUCCACUCUGAACCUCUCAGCAGGAGGGCCUCCUAUAUCUGUGUGUUUAUUCUCUACAAAAUAAAUGAUCAAGUGUAUCCA
rnacentral:lncRNA from 1 species